rnacentral:rRNA from 1 species
UACGUAGGGUGCGAGCGUUAAUCGGAAUUGCUGGGCGUAAAGGGUGCGCAGGCGGUUUUGUAAGCCAGAUGUGAAAUCCCCGGGCUUAACCUGGGAAUGGCAUUUGGGACUGCAAGGCUGGAGUGCGGCAGAGGAGACUGGAAUUCCUGGUGUAGCGGUGAAAUGCGCAGAUAUCAGGAAGAACACCCGUGGCGAAGGCGGCUCUCUGGGACGGUACUGACGCUGAGACGCGAAAGCGUGGGGAGCGAACAGG